CUUCAUGAUUCAGACCUUGGUGAGUGGCGGACGGGUGAGUAACACGUGGGUAACCUGCCCAGAAGUGGGGGAUAACAUUUGGAAACAAGUGCUAAUACCGCAUAACAACUUAGAUCACAUGAUCUUUGUUUAAAAGAUGGUUUUGCUAUCUCUUCUGGAUGGACCCGCGGCGUAUUAGCUAGUUGGUGAGGUAAUAGCUCACCAAGGCGAUGACUACGUUAGCCGACCUGAGAGGGUAAGUCGGCCACUAGUUGGGACUGAGACGACCGGACCCAAACUCCG
rnacentral:rRNA from 1 species